UGAGUUGUUCCGGACUUGCUUUCGAAGCGGGCUCCCCGCAUUUCUGUGCGGUCAACUGUUUCGGUGCUCGUCUCUUGAGCGUCCCGUGCGAUGCACAUAUUUAGCUCGGGCGGUGUGAUUAUUGGGUCGGUGCCUGUGUUGCUACAUUUUACGGAACAAUGAUUGUUUCGUGACUACGGCUUGUCAUGUUACCUUCGAUUAUGAUUUUGAGAAAUUUGCGUGGGCUAAUAUUGAAACGUCGGCUUUUGUUCGGGAGCGAUUGAUGGGUCUUGACUCGUCCGCAGCGCGCAUCAUAUUAUAUGAGCCGCUCUUUUGGAUACGGUGGGCUAUGUGGGUUCUUGCGGUCCUCUUCGGUCCGCUUGCGACCUCGUAGUACACUCGUAACAGUUCCUCGUCCGGUUGGAUCUAGUGCUAUCUUUGUGUUCCUGUUUUUGCUCUCAUGCUGGAGCAAAGGCGGGGCGUGGGGAUACAGAUGUUGGCUUUCGGGGGCGGGGCUGUACGUGUGGGAGUUCUAUGAUAUAUUAGUGAUUGCCGUUGCGUUCGUGCAUAUUGGCAUUCCGUCGGGGAAGCGCUCGCA
rnacentral:misc_RNA from 1 species